rnacentral:lncRNA from 1 species
AAAGAUGCACUUAUAUUGCAGUUUGCUUGGCGUUCAAUACUCUGGAGGAUAAACUAUGAGCUUAACUGGGCUAGUCUUUUUACUCUUUUGCUGCAAAAGCACUUCCAAUUGUUGUUGCACAAUUCUCCUGGCAGAUGAAACUACCGAAUCCUUGGUAUGUUCAACUUUGAUCAUCUCGAGCUUCUUCAUGUGAACAAAGUCAGAUGGGAUCCGCUCAAGUGUUUUGCACUGCUUGAGAAUAAGGCAUUUGAGUUCUGGGAAGUCAUUGGCUUUAGCGUCCCAACGCGUUAAAUCUGUAGCUCCAAUGAAGAAAACUUUCAGAGAAGGAAAACCCCCUUGUUUUGUCUUCCAAUAAUCUCCCUUAAAGGCAUAGUCCUUCAGCUUGAGCUCCUCAUGAUACAGAAGAUCUCCGAGUAUAGACAUAUAGUCCCAAUUUAGACUUGUGUUAUGCAGGCUUAGCCUUGUCAACCUUGGUGGGAAUUUGUGUGCCUGAGGAAGGGCAAGUAGCUUGGAGCUCACGUCAUCACCGUAUAGCUUCAAAUUUUCAAGGGAAUUCAGUUCGCAAAGACAAUCAAACAAACUAGACUCACCAUUGGCUUCCACAAGAUUGUUUAACUUCCCACAUAUUCCAAGCUUCUUAAGGUUUCUAGCCCUUUUAAACACAUCUUUUGUAAGACUUUCAGGUGAAACUGUAGAUAGAGUUUGUAGGUUUUCACCACCAGGAGAUUGCUCCAGACAUUUAGGCAAGAUUGUGGAGGUAUUAGUAUGUAGAUACCUUAGCUUUGUCAUCGACCAGAUGUCUGCUUGUAUGUCAAGAGUGGAGGAUGUGGUGUGAACUACAAGAGUUUGCAAGUUAAGCAAGCUAGACAUUUUUCUGGGAAGGACUGUUAGCUCGCAACAGAUGGCAAUAAACUUUAGCAGAACAAGGUUAAGCAGUUGGUCGGAAAACGAGUUCCAGGGAGCUUGAUGGACAAGAUAUCCAACACUCGGAGUAGUUUGAACAGCUUAAAUACAUCUGAGCAGAGAUGCCCUAUAAUAGCACAAUAUAACACUACAGCUAUACCCUAUAAUAGCUAUUGAAAAAAUAAAUAACAAAUAAAAUACACCAGAAUUUAACGAGGUUCGACCAAUAAUGCCUACGUCCUCAGACACUACCAAAUUAUAUUUCACUAAGAAUAUCUACAAAGUAAAAUAUUACAACAGAGAGAGAAAGAAGAAAAUUGCCUUAGAAGAUGAAUGGAUAUUGCCUUAGAAAAUUGCCUUAGAAGAUGAAUGAUAUAUUGAACAUAGGUCCGUUGUACCUUUUACCAUGGCUGAAGAAUAGUAGGCUACGUAUUGUGGGAACAAACAACCUGGACAUGCAAAAGUGCUCUGGCUCAGAGUGGAUGCAUAGGCGCCGUAGAUUGUGUUGCAUGUUCAAAGUAUACAGUUCAUCAUACCCACAUGCCAGCUGCAUAAAUUUUUCUUCUUUGGCUUUUCUCACACAAAACUCAUGUACCAAAUCGUGAAUUCGACAAGCCUUGAUCCUACCAGUGGAGCUUUGUUUGGAAACCAUGACUAAGCUUAUCAUGUAACCAUUUGCUACAUCCUCGGAGCUCUUGGAUUCAGCUUUUUGCACUAAUCCAUCAGCAACCCAUAGCCAAGUCAACCUCUUAGGAUUGUGUUCAUAAUCUUCUGGAAAUGCUCCAAAGUACAGAAAGCAUGGCUUUAUAUGAUCUGGUAAAUUCUUGUAACUCAGAUCUAGUGUAGCAAUACAUUGUUCUGUACUGGAGAGAACGUUUGAACUCAAACUUUCCACAAUUUGUUUCCAACCACAUUUGUCCUCAUUUGCAAGAAUUCCAGCAAGAACGAUAAUUAUAAGUGGUAGCCCCUGACACAUUUCCAAGAUCUGCCUUUGAAGUUCACAUAAUUCUGGAGGAUGUGAAUUUUUUCCAGGAAAUAACUUUCCCACUAGCAAAUCCCAACUCUCAUCAUGCCUGAGUGAACGAAUAAAAUGAGGUCCUGCAUCUAGUUCACCCAGCGGAGCAGCAAUGUUGCGAUUUCGACUUGUCAGGAUCAGUCUACUUUCAUUUCGAUUAUCUGGCAAUGUGGCUUCCAAUCCUUUCCAUGCUUCAGUAUCCCAUACAUCAUCCAAAACUAUGAGAUAUCUGUUAUUUUGCAGCCGUCGUUUGACUUCUAGUUCCAGAUCUUCUUCACUCUUUUUAAAAAUUUUGUCAGGAAGAUUUGAAUCAAGACAAAUCAAAAUUUCAAGCAGCAGGUUUUUGUUGUGAUACACUUGAGAAACAGUACACCAAGCACGCUUAUAAAAAUGGGACAUCACAAUAGAAUCAUUGUAAACUUUUUUAGCUAAAGUGGUCUUACCAAGUCCUGGCAUACCUACAAUGGGAACAAUUUGCACCUGGUUUGAUCCUUUUCUGAGUCGAUUGAUUAUAGCUGUUGCCUCAUCGUCGAUUCCCACCACCACGUCAUUGAUUGUUGGCUUAGUUCUGUGUGAAGGCAUGUGAUCGAGUGUCUUGGUAACUUCCUUAACCUUGACACCAAGUCUUUUGGUCUCAGAAAUCUUUAAGGCCUCAGAUUUGAUGAUUUUAAUUUCUCCUGCAAUGGAAUCAAACGACAUUGAAAAACAAUCUACACAAUCUCCAACUAGUACGGAAUCCACGAGAAACUCUUCCCUGUAUGCCAUGUCCACCACACGAUCCCAGAGUGAUUGGAGCUCCUCAUCUUCAUUGCGCAACUCCACAAUUUUCCCCAAGAAAGAGGGAAAGAAGUCAAGCUUGUCCUGGAUUAUUUGAACUGUACGACCGACAAGAGCAGCUGAGCCAGCCUGAGAACUUUUCAGAUCCAUCAUAGACUUUGGAAGAGAAUCAGUAAGGGCCAACUCGUUAGUCCUGGGAAAGUUGAAUGGUGAUGUUCCCAGAUAUUUCUCGGCAAUUGUUGCCUUUAUGAACUUAAUGCUUUCCAGCAAACAUGAAGGCACACGAUACAGUAAUAAUCUUUUGCAGCCAAUCCAAUGUAGCAUUCCUGACUGAGGUGUCCAGUUCUCUACUCGCAUCAACGAUCCAUCUGAAAUAGAGACAUGCUGCAUUGACAGCGGCAGAUUCAGUGUGAGUCAAUAAAGGUCCCAAUCGGUCAUCUUUAAUGCCGUGCAGUGUGACGAAACAGAUAAAGUUUUUCAAGAAUGUUAGCUUCUCAUUAAGGGCUUGUGUUGGUUCUGCUGCACCUUUGAAUGGAAGAUCUUCAAAAAGAAUAGUUUCACGGAAAGCCUCAAGAAAAGAAUGAAUCCCAUAAGAUCAUCUGUUUUUAUCAGGGAAUUACUAGACUGCCUUAAUAAGCGAUAGGAGAAAAUCAAGUACCACUCUUUUAUUUCUGCAAAAGGAAAUUCCUUAAUAAAACAACAGGCCAGAUUUUCCAGAUUGUGAUCAGUAACACCAUCUUCCAUCUCUGAAUGAGUAAGACACAAGGAAUGGAUCUCCUGUCCGGUUUUGGAAAUGGCAGCUUCAAGCCCAACCAGCAGAGUUCCUAGACUUGCAUCAUCAUUGUUGCCCCACUUCUCGCACACAUAAGGAAUGAUUUUAACAUUCCUAGCGCCACUUUCAGGGAACUGAACUCUGGAGAAAAUGAAUGGACUGCACAUCUCUUCUUCGGCAACUACAGAUCAUCCAAGAUGGAAGAAAUGCAAGUAAGACUACUGGAGGCCAUCUAAUAAAAGGAUGAUUAAUAAGGUAACCAAAAGUGAAUCCAAUUUAGAGAUGAAAUGAAACAACUCCAAUAUUUCUGAGGAAGGAGAAGAAAUCAAGGGAUAAUGGUAGGAAGAUGAAAAAAGUUAUAAAACUUUAAUCCAGAAACUAGUAGUAUAUAAUCACUACUAGCAACUAGGAAAACUCAGAGCCUAGAUGUUAGAUUGGGGGUUCAUUUAAAGCGCUUCCAACCAAGUAGGCAAGCACUUGCUGGAUACUCCUUACUUCUGGUCGAAAAUGAAAAAAGUCACAAAUAAUGACUCGAUUGCACUUGCUCAUGCAUCUUGUACUUGGUCCAAGUGCUUAGAUCAAAACAAAAUGGAGCGUUAAAGUUUACAAUAACAUUAAAAAAAAAAAGGAAAGUCAACGACUAAUUAAACAUAACUUAUUUAUGUUUUUUAUAUUAGAAAUUUUGAUAUAUGUGUAUCAAUUUUAAUCUAUAUUAUAAAAUUAGUAUUAAAUUUUUUAACCUUUUCAUAUACUUCAUCCUAUACUACAAUACAUAUAUAUAUUUAUUAUUUUGAAUUGAAAUAUAAACUCCUACAUAGCAUGAAUCAAAAUACUAGUAUAUCAAAAUUUAUAAUAUAAAAAACAUAAAUCAUAACUAAUUCAUUUUCUAUGAUUUUAGGAAAAAAAAUUUUCUCCCAUCGUGUACCCCUGAAAUUGUUGAGUACUUAUAGAAUAGUGUUUUUCAUAAAUUUUAAUAUAGAUUAAAAAACAUAUGUGCAAGCAAUGCUUUUAGAUUUUAGAAUUAUUAAAAACUAUCAUCCUUUCCAUCUCUUUUUACUUGCCAACUGACCAUCUGCUGCCUCGUAUGAUUUUGGUACCUCCUACCACAAUGCUAUCCUUCCUAUCAUCUUUUGCCACUUAUGCCAUAUCCCCACAAUUCCCUUCUUUUUUUCCUCCUCUCUCCUAUCAACUUUAUAGUUCAUCUUCCUUCUUUGUCUUUUUCACCAUUUAUUAACUCUUUAUUAUUCCCUUCCCUCUCCUUUAACUUCCUAUCCUUUCUCCUCACCAUUCUCCCAAAUCCCUUGGAUAGCUGCCCAAUCUCCAUCCCUUACACUCAACCUCCUCCAUUGCAUUUUUCCCUACUCAUCUCUUCUUCUUAUACCUGGUCAACCAUAAAAAAUUAAUAUUAUAGUUUUUUUAUUUGAGAUAUGUUGUUCUAUCAAAAAUCUCGUUAAAUUCAAUAUUCCUUUACUUCAUUGAUGACACUGUAUAGACUUGUAGUAUAGAUUACAGGUUUCUUUUCUUGAUUUGAUGUAUUCGAUUAAGGGACAAUCCUUUCUAUAGUGUACAUUCUUCUCUGAAUCAAUAAAAGAUUAGGAUUUACAUAAAUAAAAAAAAAGGAAAUGACAAGCAAUAUAAAUCUGAUCAAUAGAAUUAAGUACAGAGCUACGGAUAUUGGUAUAGACAUAGCCAUUGGUCAUUCAUUGCAACUGAUCAAUAGUACUAAAUAAAAGCUUUUCACUAAAUUUUCAUCACCAUGACUCCUUUAUACUAGUCUUCAAAGUAAUACAAAUUGAAAGCAACACGUUUCAGCCUGAGGAGCAAGACAAGGGAAACUUGAAGCUGGAAAGCAACUUUACUAGGUCGCAGUCCUUCCUUCGUUUCCAAAUAAAAACUACAGCAAUUUCAUCAUUUAACACAAGGAAGGGUGCAAUAAAUCAGAGCAAGAUUCCACGUAAACUUAACAAUACAAGGAAACAAGAUGAGGAGGUAAAAACCAAACCUCUAACAGGAAGAAAAGUACAAGACCCUAGAUUCAAUGCAGCAAGAGUUUCCUGGUGGAAAGAGAAUAUCUAUUUCAAUCACUGAAUUUGCCAGAUGAUCCAUGGCCUUAUUUCUAUCACAACAAUUGCUCAAAAGGAAAUUUGACAUUUUCAAAGAUACUGAAACAAAAAAACAAUGCAAAGAAAUCAUAGCAGCUGAAUGUUGUUGCCCAGAGCCAGGUACUGGGCCUUUAUUACUGCAGAAUAGAGAAGAAACACGAAAGAUUGAGAUAGAAGCUUCAGCAUCUCCACAUUACGAAUUCAUUCAGGCGAGCAGAAGACAAAAACUGGCAAGCAUGAAAUCCUGCAAAAUACAUUGGCUCAAGUUUGCAAAAGAUGAUGGAUUAAGAUUCAGAAGUCGGAGUCAGAAAUAAGUUUACUAACCUGUUAAAGAUGCACUUAUAUUGCAGUUUGCUUGGCGUUCAAUACUCUGGAGGAUAAACUAUGAGCUUAACUGGGCUAGUCUUUUUACUCUUUUGCUGCAAAAGCACUUCCAAUUGUAGUUGCACAAUUCUCCUGGCAGAUGAAACUACCGAAUCCUUGGUAUGUUCAACUUUGAUCAUCUCGAGCUUCUUCAUGUGAACAAAGUCAGAUGGGAUCCGCUCAAGUGUUUUGCACUGCUUGAGAAUAAGGCAUUUGAGUUCUGGGAAGUCAUUGGCUUUAGCGUCCCAACGCGUUAAAUCUGUAGCUCCAAUGAAGAAAACUUUCAGAGAAGGAAAACCCCCUUGUUUUGUCUUCCAAUAAUCUCCCUUAAAGGCAUAGUCCUUCAGCUUGAGCACCUCAAGAUACCGAAGAUUUCCGAGUAUAGACAUGUAGUCCCAAUUUAGACUUGUGUUAUGCAGGCUUAGCCUUGUCAACCUUGGUGGGAAUUUGUGUGCCUGAGGAAGGGCAAGUAGCUUGGAGCUCACGUCAUCACCGUAUAGCUUCAAAUUUUCAAGGGAAUUCAGUUCGCAAAGACAAUCAAACAAACUAGACUCACCAUUGGCUUCCACAAGAUUGUUUAACUUCCCACAUAUUCCAAGCUUCUUAAGGUUUCUAGCCCUUUUAAACACAUCUUUUGUAAGACUUUCAGGUGAAACUGUAGAUAGAGUUUGUAGGUUUUCACCACCAGGAGAUUGCUCCAGACAUUUAGGCAAGAUUGUGGAGGUAUUAGUAUGUAGAUACCUUAGCUUUGUCAUCGACCAGAUGUCUGCUUGUAUGUCAAGAGUGGAGGAUGUGGUGUGAACUACAAGAGUUUGCAAGUUAAGCAAGCUAGACAUUUUUCUGGGAAGGACUGUUAGCUCGCAACAGAUGGCAAUAAACUUUAGCAGAACAAGGUUAAGCAGUUGGGUCGGAAAACGAGUUCCAGGGAGCUUGAUGGACAAGAUAUCCAACACUCGGAGUAGUUUGAACAGCUUAAAUACAUCUGAGCAGAGAUGCCGGUUCAGUGUUGUUUCUUCGAGGCCAAAGCUCAGGAAUGAACGGACAUUCUGAGCAGGCUGUUGAUUGGAAACGU